UGAGAAGAAGUGUCAAAUUUCCAAACUGAAGGCGUUUGAAGAGCAACCAUUGCAGAUCACUGAUGCAACUUUGAAUUGAUAGAGUAAAGGAUAUCACCCAGAGUAGAUAAUUUAGUAAAUAAAAAACAUACUUUCUACGACCAAUAAAAAAGGUUGAAAGGUAAGAAUUCAUACUUUCAUCUGAAAUGGGCAUCCCAACACUGUAAUCUGAUUUAUGAGCAACAUGGAUAAAAUGUAAACUUAUUUGUCAUCUUUCCGACAAUACCUUUAAAGCUAUGACAUUGCAGACUUGUACAACAAAUAAAACACUCAUAAAUGCCACCUGAUCUUUCCCAACCAUACACGUUCGAGAAAGACCAAAAUACUUUUAGUCUACUGCUUUGAAUUAAUCACCAAGCUACCAAUAUUUUCCUCACAGAUGCAUACUUUCUUAAACACAUAUCAAAUCAGCAUAUGACAAAUCACACAAGCAUUACAUAAUGAAUCACAAAAUAGAAAUACAUAUCUCUCCACAUCCAAGGAAUAAGACAUAUAACUCAUUUGAAAUUAAACAAUUGUUUUAAUCUAUCAAUAAUUUCAAGGCUUCAACAUGCACACUAGUACAAGUAUUAUUCAUGAAAAACAAGUAAUAUAAACCAUUGUGAUUUUCAGUGUCACUAGUCUUUGUAAAUUCAUGUACUUUUAUUUUCUAGUUGAUGUACCUUUCCUUGCUCACAUCAGUCUUUGUCUUUAGGUUAAGGUACAUUUGCUCACUUAAUCACUCAAAUCAAAGAGGUGUACAUGUCAUGACACCAUUGAUUUCUGUGUUAUAACAUCCGUAACCUUCAAUUUCCAACACUACAUGAAAUCGAGUCAAUAUCUUGUUUGGUUGAUUUUGUUUUAUUCAGCAUUCCAACAAAACAAAUAGAUAUCACAAUUGUUUCAGCCACAACAUCAUAAGAGGAUCUAUGACAUGAUAUCAGGUAGCCUACAAGAAUUACAAUCAAAUAUCUCACAUAAAAACAAGGCACUAAAGUCUCAAAUCUCUUUAUCUUCUACCUUCUAUAUUUGGAAGCUAUCACAUGAUAUUAUUACCAGUCUUCUAUUGCUCAGUACACAUGUCAUAUAUCCACCAGUUCUGUGUGCAUCAUGAAAUCUCUAAAUCUAAUUUAUCAAAAGGUUGCACAUUGGUAGACAAAAAUAAACAUUGUGAGAUUUGAUCAUCGGAAUAUGUUACUUCCAAUAGGACUACCAAAUCGGUGUGAAAAUACCAGUCCUACACAAAUACACAAAAGAAAUUGUUUGUAUGAUUGGAUUACUUAACAUUUGACAUAUAAUAAGAUCAUCCAUGUAUUACAUGUGCGAAAACACCAAUACUUUAAUUCAUCAAGAAAUUUCUUGUGAGUUACCAAAUACAUAUUGGAAUUCCAAUCCACAUAUUUAUAAAUGAAUUUUAAUUAGUUCUUAUUACCUAUUAAUUUCUAUUAACAGUCUAUUUUGAAUUUAAAAGUUUGCAAAGUUCCAUAAAAAUAUUUGAUUAAAGCUUGCUUUCUUUUGACACAAGACAUAGCAUUGAUAAUAAACUUCUGAUCUCGGAUACAUUAACCUCCUGCUUAAGUCUGACAGAAAAUAUCAGUUAAGCUUUCCCACAUGCUAAUGACAGCAUAUCACAUCUACUGUUACAAUCGCAUCAAAACAUCUUAAUAAUGACACACAAUAUAUCAUAUGCACCCUGUUAAGAACAUGAAUUUACAUAAUCUUUCUACAAAAUAUAUAAAUUAAAAGGUGCAAACCAAAAUUAAGUGCAAAAGAAAUAAAUAAGAGAUGGACAUAAAAUGACAAUAAAAUUAUUUCAGUGUGCAAUAUGCCAUUAUUUCUAUUAAAGAACCUGACGCUAGGAACUUUUCUGACACUAAAACAACAUCAUCAAUGCGGAACUGUGUCUUCACACAAUAAAAAAAUUAGUACAAAUGUUUCAUAUCUCUUUCCUUGAAUAUGAAUUGAAAAAAAAAUGCAAAUGAAAUUGUAGCGAGUCAUCUCCUCUACUGGACAGGAUAAAUAAGAAAUAAAGAGCUGUCACUAUGGCAACAUAACUGAGCUUUGUAACUCAUUUGGUGCAGGUAACCAUUCAUUUAUGAAUUCAGAUUGUGUGGAAUAGCUCUGCUUUUCCUAGCUAAAUAAAUGGGCUUACAAUGGAGAGACAAAUGAAUUAUAAAAAGUGCAAGGUUUCACCAAUUCACACACAAUACUUCAUUCAAUGUUCUUUUUUUAAGAUACAAAUCAUUUUAGAUUUUGAUUUGUAAUCUUGAUAUUUUCUUCUGCAUGCAAACAUGCACUUGUGCUUUUAAGCAACUCUUUGAGUGUUUACCAUAAAUAUACACAUACUCCACUGGUAGUGUAGAUCUAUGAGAUAUUUCUUAAAUUAGCAGCUUAUAAGCUUUUCCACUGAAAUAAAAUUGAUUAAAACCAUUUAUUAUUCGAUAGGUUCUUUGAAAUUCUCUUUCACUUGAAUUGUAAAAAACUACUAAAACUUCACAAAUCAAAUGACCUUAUAUACUAAUCAGUGUAUGACACAUCAAUAACACUUUUGCAUCUGGCAAGAUAAAAUAACCAAUUAUAUGAGGCUUAACUAAGGGCAAUGGCGAAAUUCAGAAUUACUGUACGAGCAUACCACAUGCACCCUGAAAAUAAUUCCAUUAUUUUGAAAACCCUGAAAAUCAAACUAAUGACGUGAAAAAGGUGAACAUUUAAUUUCAAAAAGUAACCUUCAGAUAUCAACAAGAUACAUAAUAUAUAUUUACAAUAAUUUUCUCAACACCACAACCAUAUUGCAAAACACAUCUGUGAUGAAGAUAUAAACAUAUAUGUAAACAAUUCACACAGGAAUUUUCUUUCACGCAUACUUUAUUGCGGGUGAAAAAUAUCAAUAAAUGCUCUGCGAAGACAAGGUGAAAUGGACUUAUAGGUAAGACAUUUAUUCUGAACAAUCCUUGUCACACAUCACACGCUGUCACACUGAAUGAAUGAAAUUCCCAAUAACAUGGAGAAGCAAUGAUGGAAUACAUAAUUGAAUCACUGAGGUAAUCGAUAAUGAAAAUUGAAACUGGAUUUUAAUCAAGAUCAUCUUAAAUACCCUGCAAAUGGUCAAUUCAGCCUUUUUUUCUGUUCAAGAAGAUGACUUCACUUUCAGCCCAUUAAAUAGUACGUAUUUUAAUCUAGAAAUGAACAAUAUUUUCUACACACUAGAAAUGGAUUAAGUCAGUUGGUUGAGAAUUGCUGAUUGAUUUCACAAGUGUUUCAAGCAGUGCUGCAAUCUCCUCUUUUCAAAUGUGUCUAUGAAAAACUCAUUUUUAGAAUUGAAUAGCUAUGUGAACCUACAUAACACUGGCAAUACCAUGCAUAA